rnacentral:rRNA from 1 species
UCGAGCGGCGAACGGGUGAGUAACACGUGAGCAACCUGCCCCAGGCUUUGGGAUAACCCCGGGAAACCGGGGCUAAUACCGGAUAUGACCUUGCACCGCAUGGUGUUUGGUGGAAAGUUUUUCGGCUUGGGAUGGGCUCGCGGCCUAUCAGCUUGUUGGUGGGGUGAUGGCCUACCAAGGCGACGACGGGUAGCCGGCCUGAGAGGGCGACCGGCCACACUGGGACUGAGACACGGCCCAGACUCCUACGGGAGGCAGCAGUGGGGAAUAUUGCACAAUGGGCGGAAGCCUGAUGCAGCGACGCCGCGUGAGGGAUGACGGCCUUCGGGUUGUAAACCUCUUUCAGCAGGGACGAAGCGUAAGUGACGGUACCUGCAGAAGAAGCGCCGGCCAACUACGUGCCAGCAGCCGCGGUAAGACGUAGGGCGCGAGCGUUGUCCGGAUUUAUUGGGCGUAAAGAGCUCGUAGGCGGCUUGUCGCGUCGACCGUGAAAACCUGGGGCUCAACCCCAGGCCUGCGGUCGAUACGGGCAGGCUAGAGUUCGGUAGGGGAGACUGGAAUUCCUGGUGUAGCGGUGAAAUGCGCAGAUAUCAGGAGGAACACCGGUGGCGAAGGCGGGUCUCUGGGCCGAUACUGACGCUGAGGAGCGAAAGCGUGGGGAGCGAACAGGAUUAGAUACCCUGGUAGUCCACGCUGUAAACGUUGGGCGCUAGGUGUGGGGGGCCUCUCCGGUUCCCUGUGCCGCAGCUA